UAGAGUUUGAUCAUGGCUCAGAACGAACGCUGGCGGCAGGCCUAACACAUGCAAGUCGAACGGGCGUAGCAAUACGGAGUGGCAGACGGGUGAGUAACGCGUGGGAACGUACCUUUUGGUUCGGAACAACACAGGGAAACUUGUGCUAAUACCGGAUAAGCCCUUACGGGGAAAGAUUUAUCGCCGAAAGACCGGCCCGCGUCUGAUUAGCUAGUUGGUGAGGUAACGGCUCACCAAGGCGACGAUCAGUAGCUGGUCUGAGAGGAAGAUCAGCCACACUGGGACUGAGACACGGCCCAGACUCCUACGGGAGGCAGCAGUGGGGAAUAUUGGACAAUGGGCGCAAGCCUGAUCCAGCCAUGCCGCGUGAGUGAUGAAGGCCUUAGGGUUGUAAAGCUCUUUUACCAGGGAAGAUAAUGACGGUACCUGGAGAAUAAGCCCCGGCUAACUUCGUGCCAGCAGCCGCGGUAAUGCGACGUCGGGCC
rnacentral:rRNA from 1 species